rnacentral:rRNA from 1 species
CCUACGGGAGGCAGCAGUGAGGAAUAUUGGUCAAUGGGCUUACGCCUGAACCAGCCAAGUCGCGUGAGGGAAGACUGCCCUAUGGGUUGUAAACCUCUUUUGUCAGGGAGCAAUUGGCGCUACGUGUAGCGUUAUCGAGAGUACCUGAAGAAAAAGCAUCGGCUAACUCCGUGCCAGCAGCCGCGGUAAUACGGAGGAUCCGAGCGUUAUCCGGAUUUAUUGGGUUUAAAGGGUGCGUAGGCGGUUUGAUAAGUUAGAGGUGAAAUGUCGGGGCUCAACCCCGAAACUGCCUCUAAUACUGGUGGACUAGAGAAUAGUUGCGGUAGGCGGAAUGUAUGGUGUAGCGGUGAAAUGCUUAGAGAUCAUACAGAACACCGAUUGCGAAGGCAGCGUACCAAACUAUAUCUGACGUUGAGGCACGAAAGCGUGGGUAGCAAACAGGAUUAGAUACCCCUGUAGUC